rfam:Brachypodium distachyon strain Bd21 chromosome 2, whole genome shotgun sequence.
CAACUACUUCCUCCGUCCAACAAAAAAUGUCUCAAGUUUGUCAAAAUUUGGAUAUAUCUAGACAUGAGUUAGCGUAUAGAUGCAUUCAAAUGUAAUCAAAGUUGAGACAUCCUUUGUUGAACAGAGAGAGUACUAU